GGGGAGAUGGCUCAGUGGUAGAGUGCUUGCCUUGCAUGCAUGAGGCCCUGGGUUCGAUUCCCCAGCACCA
rnacentral:tRNA from 1 species